GCGGGGGGCCGGACGGCCGCCUGCGGGGGGAAACCCUUGCGGGAGGAAAGUCCGGACUCCACAAAGCGACGGUGCCGGGUAACGCCCGGGCGGGGUAACCCGACGGACAGCGCCACAGAGAACAGACCGCCUUCGCGACAUUGCUCUGCAAUGGACGGGGGUCAGGGUGAAACGGUGGGGUAAGAGCCCACCGGGGGGGCGGCAACGUUCCCCGCAUGGCAAGCCCCACCGGGAGCAAUGCCAAAUAGGGACCCCGCGCCUUCGGGCAUCGGUGCUUUGCCGAAGGGGUCCGGGUUGGCAGCUGGAGGCCGCGAAGCGAUUCGCGGUCCAGAGGAAUGGUCGUCGAACCGGAGCGAUCCGGGGAACAGAAUCCGGCUUACAGGCUCCCCGCACAU
rnacentral:RNase_P_RNA from 1 species